rnacentral:rRNA from 1 species
CUUUCAGCAGGGAAGAAGCGAAAGUGACGGUACCUGCAGAAGAAGCACCGGCUAACUACGUGCCAGCAGCCGCGGUAAUACGUAGGGUGCGAGCGUUGUCCGGAAUUAUUGGGCGUAAAGAGCUUGUAGGCGGUUUGUCGCGUCUGCUGUGAAAAUCCGGGGCUCAACCCCGGACUUGCAGUGGGUACGGGCAGACUAGAGUGUGGUAGGGGAGACUGGAAUUCCUGGUGUAGCGGUGAAAUGCGCAGAUAUCAGGAGGAACACCGAUGGCGAAGGCAGGUCUCUGGGCCACUACUGACGCUGAGAAGCGAAAGCAUGGGGAGCGAACAGGAUUAGAUACCCUGGUAGUCCAUGCCGUAAACGUUGGGCGCUAGGUGUGGGACUCAUUCCACGAGUUCCGUGCCGCAGCUAACGCAUUAAGCGCCCCGCCUGGGGAGUACGGCCGCAAGGCUAAAACUCAAUA